rnacentral:rRNA from 1 species
UGAGUAAUCUGCCCCAGGCUCUGGGAUAGCCACCGGAAACGGUGAUUAAUACCGGAUACGACAACCGAUUGCAUGAUCUGGUUGUGGAAAGUUUUUCGGCCUGGGAUGUGCUCGCGGCCUAUCAGCUUGUUGGUGAGGUAAUGGCUCACCAAGGCUUCGACGGGUAGCCGGCCUGAGAGGGUGACCGGCCACACUGGGACUGAGACACGGCCCAGACUCCUACGGGAGGCAGCAGUGGGGAAUAUUGGACAAUGGGCGGAAGCCUGAUCCAGCAACGCCGCGUGAGGGAUGACGGCCUUCGGGUUGUAAACCUCUUUCAGCACAGACGAAGCGCAAGUGACGGUAUGUGCAGAAGAAGGACCGGCCAACUACGUGCCAGCAGCCGCGGUAAUACGUAGGGUCCGAGCGUUGUCCGGAAUUAUUGGGCGUAAAGGGCUCGUAGGCGGUCUGUCGCGUCGGGAGUGAAAACCAGGUGCUUAACACCUGGCCUGCUUUCGAUACGGGCAGACUAGAGGUACUCAGGGGAGAAUGGAAUUCCUGGUGUAGCGGUGAAAUGCGCAGAUAUCAGGAGGAACACCGGUGGCGAAGGCGGUUCUCUGGGAGUAUCCUGACGCUGAGGAGCGAAAGCGUGGGGAGCAAACAGAG